rnacentral:tRNA from 1 species
GGUUCGGUGGUCUAGGGGUAUGAUUCUCGCUUAGGGUGCGAGAGGUCCCGAGUUCAAAUCCCGGCCGAACCC